UACGUAGGGGGCAAGCGUUGUCCGGAUUUAUUGGGCGUAAAGAGCGUGUAGGCGGCCAGGUAGGUCUGCUGUGAAAACUCGAGGCUCAACCUCGAGAUGUCGGCGGAAACCAUCUGGCUAGAGUCCGGAAGAGGAGAGUGGAAUUCCUGGUGUAGCGGUGAAAUGCGCAGAUAUCAGGAAGAACACCCGUGGCGAAGGCAGCUCUCUGGGACGGUACUGACGCUGAGACGCGAAAGCGUGGGGAGCGAACAGG
rnacentral:rRNA from 1 species